rnacentral:tRNA from 1 species
UGGGGUGUGGCUUGGUAUAGAGUACCUGCCUGGCAUGCAUGAGGCCUUGGUUCCAUCCCCAGCACUUCAA